rnacentral:rRNA from 1 species
CCAUAAUCAGUACAGGUUGUGAGAGCAAGAACCUGGAGACGGAAUCUGAGACAAGAUUCCGGGCCCUACGGGGCGCAGCAGGCGCGAAACCUUUACACUGCACGCACGUGCGAUAAGGGGACUCCGAGUGCGAGGGCAUAUCGUCCUCGCUUUCGUGUACCGUAGGGUGGUACACCAACAAGGGCUGGGCAAGACCGGUGCCAGCCGCCGCGGUAAUACCGGCAGCCCGAGUGAUGACCGAUCUUAUUGGGCCUAAAGCGUCCGUAGCUGGCUGCGCAAGUCCGUCGGGAAAUCCACUCGCCCAACGAGUGGGCGUCCGACGGAAACUGCACAGCUUGGGACCGGAAGGCUCGAAGGGUACGUGCGGGGUAGGAGUGAAAUCCUAUAAUCCCGCACGGACCACCGAUGGCGAAAGCACUUCGAGAAAACGGAUCCGACAGUGAGGGACGAAAGCCAGGGUCUCCAACCGGAUUAGAUACCCGGGUAGUCCUGGCUGUAAACAAUGUUCGCUAGGUAUGACACAGACUACGUGUCCCUGUUGUGCCGUAGGGAAGCCGAGAAGCGAACCGCCUGGGAAGUACGUCUGCAAGGAUGAAACUUAAAGGAAUUGGCGGGGGAGCACUACAACCGGAGGAGCCUGCGGUUUAAUUGGACUCAACGCCGGACAUCUCACCAGCUCCGACUACAGUGAUGACGACCAGGUUGAUGACCUCAUCACGACGCUGUAGAGAGGAGGUGCAUGGCCGCCGUCAGCUCGUACCGUGAGGCGUCCUGUUAAGUCAGGCAACGAGCGAGACCCGCACCCCUAAUUGCCAGCAACAGUUUCGACUGGUUGGGUACAUUAGGAGGACUGCCAGUGUUAAACUGGAGGAAGGAACGGGCAACGGUAGGUCAGUAUGCCCCGAAUGAGCUGGGCAACACGCGGGCUACAAUGGCUAAGACAAUGGGUCGCUAUCUCGACAGAGAACGCUAAUCUCGAAACUUAGUCGUAGUUCGGAUUGAGGGCUGAAACUCGCCCUCAUGAAGCUGGAUUCGGUAGUAGCCGCCUUUCAGUAGAAGGCGACGAAUACGUCCCUGCUCCUUGUACACACCGCCCGUCA